UUCGGGUCCAGGGAAGUAAUGUAUAGAGGACAGUUCCUCUUCCAGUGCCCCUGCUUCUUGCAAAAGAAGCACUCCGCCUAGCUCUGGUCAGGCUUGCGCUUCUUGGUCUGACCCUGUGCAGACGUUCCAGCAUGCAGCUGCACCUUCUUAUUCUUCUUCUUCUUGUUCUUCUUCUUCCCUUUCUUAAAGGGUCGACGACCAGAAGAAGACCCUCCCACAACAUUCACCGACUCCUUCUGGAGCUGGUGAUCCUUCUCAAAGUUCUGC
rnacentral:lncRNA from 1 species